rnacentral:rRNA from 1 species
CCCUUAGAUGUUCUGGGCCGCACGCGUGCUACACUGACCGGCGCAACAAGCUUUUUUCCUUGGCUCGACAGGCCUGGGUAAUCUUCGAACGCCGGUCGUGAUGGGGAUAGAUCCUUGCAAUUUUUGAUCUUCAACGAGGAAUUCCUAGUAAAUGCGAGUCAUCAUCUCGCGUUGAUUACGUCCCUGCCCUUUGUACACACCGCCCGUCGCACCUACCGAUUGAAUGGUCCGGUGAAGCCUCCGGAUUGCACGGGCCCCGUGUCUGGCGCGAGAAGUUGGCUAAACCUUACCAUUUAGAGGAAGGUGAAGUCGUAACA